AUACGUAGGGUGCAAGCGUUAAUCGGAAUUACUGGGCGUAAAGCGUGCGCAGGCGGUUUUGUAAGACAGAGGUGAAAUCCCCGGGCUCAACCUGGGAACUGCCUUUGUGACUGCAAGGCUAGAGUACGGCGGAGGGGGGUGGGAUUUCCCGUGGAGCAGUGAAAUGCGUAGAUAUGCGGAGGAACACCGAUGGCGAAGGCAAUCCCCUGGGCCUGUACUGACGCUCAUGCACGAAAGCGUGGGGAGCAAACAGGAUUAGAUACCCUGGUAGUCCACGCCCUAAACGAUGUCAACUGGUUGUUGGGUCUUCAUUGACUCAGUAACGAAGCUAACGCGUGAAGUUGACCGCCUGGGGAGUACGGCCGCAAGGUUGAAACUCAAAUGAAUUGGCGGGG
rnacentral:rRNA from 1 species